UUGAGGUCUUGUCCUGCGAUG
rnacentral:misc_RNA from 1 species